rnacentral:lncRNA from 1 species
ACUUCAUUUAUAUUUUCAGAAAAAUGAAAACCUUGGAAGCAAAAUUUGAAGAAGCUUAAUACUCUCGUAUCCUCUGACACAGAAACACAGGAAUACUGUCAUGUGAAUAUACAAAGACAUACAGACACAAUGAGGAAGGCCAUGUGAAGACAGAGUCAGAGAUUGGAGUGAUACAUCUACGAGCCAAGGAAUACCAAGGGUUGUUCAUCUACAGCGAUCAGAGACUAUGAGAGAGGCCUGGAACAGAUUCUCCUUCAGAAUCUCUGGAAGAAAUCAGCCCUCCCAACACCUUGAUCUUGGACUUCUGGACUCCAGAACUGGGAAACAAUAAAUUUAUGCUGCUUUAAGC